AGGUCUCUUUGCUCCCAGGCAUUCCCCAAAAGAAGCCACAGGGAUGGAGCUGAGAAAAGAGCUGCAUUGGACCCUCAGAGACCCCCUUCUACCCCUGGAGCUGGGAGGACCCCAACUCCCUGUGGGGUGGAGGGUCCCCAGGCUGUACCCCCACCCCCAGGGGAAGGCAGAUCAUUAGCUGAAGCUCACCCCAAAGGGCUGGACUCCUAGGGUCCCCCUCUGCAAGGUGGGGUUCCCCCCCACCUCCCCUACCCCUAACGAGGAGUGUUCCUCUCCAUCCCCUCUCUCCCCCCGGGCCUGGCACCGCUAACGUGCCCCUUUCUCUUGUUCUUUGUGGAACAGGACUGCUGUACCCCGGAGCUGGUGUGAAGCCCCCUAAGCCAGGCUUUGGGGUCGGACUUGGUGCUCUAGGCGUGCCUGCAGGAGCUGCUGGAGUGCCUGGAUUCGGACUGUCUCCCAUUUACCCAGGGGGCGGAGUUGGCGGCCUGGGCUUCGGAGGGAAGCCCCCCAAGCCAUUCGCCGGAGGGCUUGGAGCCCUAGGAUACAGAGGUGCCGUUUGUUCAGGGAAGUACUGCGGCCGGAAGAGGAAGUAGCUGCCCGGCACCUGCCAAUCAACCUCAUGAACUUUGGUGCUACUGCAUGGUCCAGAAUGUAACCCCUCGAGGCCCCCCUGCCCCUCUCCCCUCCCCCGCCCGCCCUCCCCUCUCCCCUGCCUUCGCACUGGAUGGGACCCCCUCCCGUGCCACCCUCCGGGUGGGGGUCCCGGUUGGUGGGCGGGGAGGGAAGGGGCGUAGGAGGCGGAAGCUGAAAAGCAAACCAACAAACCAAUCUCCAAAGGGGCUGAGAAAAGUUGGCUUAGAACGGUGCCUAGGGGCAGGGGCGGGGUGGGGGGACCCAGAGGUCCCACUUAGGAGCUCCCCUCUCCGAGCAGGGAUCUCAAAGCUUCUCCGAGGGGAAAAUGGUGCUACCCAUUGGUGCUCUAGACUCUCACGGUGAGGGCAGGGAGGUGGGAUGGGCAGCCUUGGCGGGAACCCUCAGAGCAGCACGCCUGGGCUACGGCUCUGGACUGUACCUCCUUCCCCCCCACCCCGCCUGUACCCCAGGCAACCCCCACCCCCUCGUUAGUCCAGCCAAAACCAUCCCAGGGGCCCGGGGGACCCAUUCAGGCAGAAAUCUGGGUUGGGUUUUCUCUCCAAGCACUUUAAGAUCAGCCUCAGGCCUGGAUAUGGUCCUGGCAAGGUCCCCCCUCCAGCCCCUCUCCACCCUCCCCGCUUCUGGUCUCCAGGAUCUGGGGGGGCAGGACUCGGGCCCCAGGCUCCGGGUGGCUCCCGGGUUCUGCCCGGGUGGAGUAAUGGUGACCGGUUGGGCCAUCGCCUUUUGGGGGGGAAUGUCCCCCCCAGAGCAUGGUGGCCCAGUCCUUCCAGAAUCCCCCAGUGCGGUGCUGCCCAGUUGGUGAAAGCCAACUGGGGCUGUCGCCCGUCUCCCUCCUGGCUCUACAGAUUGGGGGUCCCGACGGACACCCCGAGGGCCCAGGCUGGGACGCGUGGCCGACAGAACCCAGCCCCACUCCCCGAGGGGGCCCCACAGACCCCAGGGGGGUGGAGAUGAGAGGUUUUCCUCUCCCCCAACCCCGGCUCCGUGCCCCCAGACAGCUCUCAGUACUGUACCACCCGUCUCUCAAGCCACUGUCCAUCAGAACAGCCCCCCAGCCCACCCCCCCCAGGCCCCUUUCCCCAUGUCUCUCUGUGAUAGAUCAAUAAAUAUUUUAUUUUUUGUCCUGGAUAUUUGGGGUUUAUUUGGGUUGUGUUUUUGUUUCUUCGGUUUUCUUUUGUUAUUGGAUCAGAGUUGGGGACACCCCCCGUGUCCCCACAGGGCAAGGAGAGCCGGGAUCAUUUUACUCACUUUGGUAUACCUUGGAUGGGCACAAUUUUUUUUUUUAAUCAGAAAAAGAAAAGUUACUGCUUCAGAAAACAGACUAAUAAA